AAUAUUUUUGUUAUCAAACUUUCAAAGAAACAUGCUGGCCUAAAUAGCAGCCAGGAUGGAAGAUUACUGUGGCUAAAGCCCACUGUCUCAUGGCCAUAUAAACAGUGGUGCAAAGUGAGAGCCUUUGAGCUCUCCUGGACUGCAGCAGGCUGAGACCAGCACCUCUCUCUGAGUGGGGCCCUCUCAGAGAACAAGAGUUCUCAACGUUGCUGUUGCUGCAGGACCAUCACCGAACCACAGCAACAGAGCCUGGGCUGAUACCCCCACUCCUGGGAGCUCAACCCUGAGGAGAUACAAAGACAUCUCAUCUUUUGCUGAACUCAAGGGAAUUUUCACAGGAGUCACACCUUUCCUAAAGGAAAAGAGGAGCAGAACACUCUGGCACCAGCUGCCUUGCACAAAAAGACAGCGCUCAUGGGAAGGGAGAUUUGGGAUGCACCGCCAUGCACAUGUUGCCCAGACUAAGAAAAUCAAAGCACUGACAUCUGCCUUGGGAAGGUGACAGGAGGGAUCACAGGCAUAGAAACUUGGGCAACAAAGAGAAAUCACCUUGAUUCAGUCCCUAGGCAGCCCAUUUAGUUAUUAUUCCUGUCUUAAGCUCCCACCAGCACUGUAAGCCACAAGUCAAGAGGAAGAAACGGAUAUAUCCUCCAGUUGCAAAAGCAGUCUGCUGAAAUGAGGCUUUCACCUUUGUACCUUUGGUCCUGCUUUUUAUGUAUCUCCUGCUGCAGCUGAAGUUUUACCCCGACUUUAUUCAAAUUGCAAGCGUGCUAAACCCGAGCGGGCUCUGGCCUGCUGCCCACGUGAGCAUCUCGGUGUGUGAGCGGGGAUCCCGGGACAGCAGAGGGAGCCGGAGCCCCGGGCCGGGCUCGCUCCCCCGGGAGCCUCCGGGCUGAUCCCGCAGCGCCAGCAACUGCGGCUGUCCCUGCUUCGUGCGGCUGGUGUUGAAAUAGAGAUUUAUAGAGUUCACUUGAGUUAACAAAAUGAAUUAAGAAUUUAAAUUUUUAACUUGUAGAAUUAUGUGUUGAAUUUUAACCUUUUACUUAAGAAACCUCUGCCACGGUACAAAGGGCAUAGGAAAAUGCAAAUUUCUGAAGCUUCUUGCAUAAAGAACAGUACUGGAGGACACCAAAAGAUGCAAACAACCCAGAUAAAGAAGCUCCUCUCUCUCCAAGCCUAUCAAGACUGACAGACGUACUCAAAUAAGCACCAAAGGACCGAAAGCGCACGCGCAGAGAGGAAAAGUUCAAAAGUUCAGCCAUGAGGAAGACCACAAUCUUCAGCCUCAGGACCACCGAGAGACCCCCGUACGACCAUCACAGCAAACCACGCUUGCCCAGAAAGGCGUGGACUUAUUUAGCAUGAGAGGCGAGGACAGGCGGGGCCAGGGGUUGAAUAUGCACGGCAAAGUUGUGCAACGUAUUGCAUAUGGAACAUCUUUGGGAAUAAAGGUGUGGGU